rnacentral:rRNA from 1 species
UGUAACAGCCAUGUCACCCUGCAGCCCAAGACUGGUUACUCACUGAAGCUAAGCAGGGCUGAGCCUGGUCAGUACCUGGAUGGGAGACCACUAGGGAACACUAGGUUGCUGUUGGAA